rnacentral:misc_RNA from 1 species
AAGUCGUAACAAGGUUUCCGUAGGUGAACCUGCGGAAGGAUCAUUAUCACGUUAUCCACGUUAACCAACCGUGAACUGUUCUGCUCCCUACGCGAAGACUUCUCCAUAUGCAUGUAUUUGUGUGUGGAGAGUUGAAACGGGGUUUGAGCAACCCCAUUUGUUGGGAAACCUUCAAAUGGGUGGUUUUUUUUAAUUAAAACCAUUUUAUCAUUAACCAAUUGAACCUUUCAUUUUUAACUAUGUACUAAAUAUAUGAUUUCUUACCUCUCUCUUCGGGAGGAAGAACAUCGUUGUUUACGAAACAUAAGAACAACUCUUAGCAACGGAUAUCUUGGUUCUC